rnacentral:rRNA from 1 species
ACGAACGCUGGCGGCAGGCCUAACACAUGCAAGUCGAGCGCGCCCUUCGGGGUGAGCGGCGGACGGGUGAGUAACGCGUGGGAAUAUGCCCUUCUCUACGGAAUAGUCCCGGGAAACUGGGGGUAAUACCGUAUACGCCCUUUGGGGGAAAGAUUUAUCGGGGAAGGAUUAGCCCGCGUUGGAUUAGGUAGUUGGUGGGGUAAUGGCCCACCAAGCCGACGAUCCAUAGCUGGUUUGAGAGGAUGAUCAGCCACACUGGGACUGAGACACGGCCCAGACUCCUACGGGAGGCAGCAGUGGGGAAUCUUAGACAAUGGGGGCAACCCUGAUCUAGCCAUGCCGCGUGAGUGAUGAAGGCCUUAGGGUUGUAAAGCUCUUUCAGCUGGGAAGAUAAUGACGGUACCAGCAGAAGAAGUCCCGGCUAACUCCGU